GACGAACGCUGGCGGCGUGCUUAACACAUGCAAGUCGAACGGUAAGGCCCUGCUUUUGUGGGGUGCUCGAGUGGCGAACGGGUGAGUAACACGUGAGUAACCUGCCCUUGACUUUGGGAUAACUUCAGGAAACUGGGGCUAAUACCGGAUAGGAGCUCCUGCUGCAUGGUGGGGGUUGGAAAGUUUCGGCGGUUGGGGAUGGACUCGCGGCUUAUCAGCUUGUUGGUGGGGUAGUGGCUUACCAAGGCUUUGACGGGUAGCCGGCCUGAGAGGGUGACCGGCCACAUUGGGACUGAGAUACGGCCCAGACUCCUACGGGAGGCAGCAGUGGGGAAUAUUGCACAAUGGGCGGAAGCCUGAUGCGGCAACGCCGCGUGCGGGAUGACGGCCUUCGGGUUGUAAACCGCUUUCGCCUGUGACGAAGCGUGAGUGACGGUAAUGGGUAAAGAAGCACCGGCUAACUACGUG
rnacentral:rRNA from 1 species